rnacentral:misc_RNA from 1 species
ACAAAGCUCGUUACUCGGAGAGCCCAUCCAAGAAUUGACGGCCUUGCUCUGUAAUCCUGAUACCGUCGCCAACUUCUUCGGCAAAUCCCCGAGCAAAGAUGUUCGUCGAAGUACCUUUGUGGGAUUUUAGAUUCCGAACGAUCUGACUAAACUUGGUGUCGUUCCGACCAUCGAGAAUUUCUGCGUCUUCUCCACUGGGAGCGAACUCAGCAGAUAACUCGUUGAUCAGGUCCGACGUAGAAAUGUAACCACCCUUCCUUGCAGCAGCCGCGCGCAGAGCGGGAAUCCGAACGUGCUUCUCGCGAAUACAACCACCACGAAAGAGCUUCUCUUUAGGACUCAGCAUUGCUUCAAGUCU